UUACAUAUGCAAGUAAUAUUCUUUUUAUUAUAAGAUUAAAAUGGGUGCAAUUGUUAAGUCCAUUUUACUCAAAUGUGUAUUCUUAGUGUCGGUGCGUAGAUUAUGGCAUUCUAGCACCAAUGUGUAUUAAGUGCACAAUUUUUGAACGCACUUUCUUUUUGUUGCCUUGCUUGUAAGCUGAUGGAGCGUUUUUGUUAUUAUGCUGGUGAAACGUUUUCUUUGAGAUUCUUCUGUGUUCCCCUGUUUAGGGGAGUUAGUAUGGGAUUGGAGUUCUACACUAAGUACUAGAUUCAGCAGUGUGUUGUACUUUAGGGAAAGGAGAUGAGUAUUUCUCCCCAUGUAAGAGAACAACUUUUUCAUAUGUUGAUAAGUCAUUACGUGAAAAGUCUGUGGGUAAGCUGAAGUUUGAAAAGGGAAGAGUAAAUGGGAUAAGAGUGUCUGUUCUGAAAGAUUCUGGUUCGAGUGUUAUAGGAAUUAGAAGUUCAUUAGUUGGUGAGAAAGACAUGAUUCCUGGUACUUAUAAAUUAAAGCUUGUCGUUGGGACAGUCAGGGAUUACCCAUUGGCGUGUGUAAGUAUUGAGUCGGAUUACAUUUAUGGGAAAUAUGUGGUUGCUUGUUUUAAAGAUCCUGUUGCAGAUUUGUUUCUUGGGAAUGUUGAUAUUAAUGUGAAUCGGGAGUUUGAUUGCGCAGCAGUAACUAGGUCAGCGAAAGAUAGAGAGAAUGAUAGUGGCCCUGUAAAUGAGUGUGGAAUAUUGGAAGAUUGUCGUGAUGUUUUAGGUACGAGUGAUGAUUUUUUACGUGAACAGCUGAGCGAUCCGUCUUUGAAAGAUCUAUGGGAGCGACAUGUGGACAGUUGUGUAGAUAAUAAAAAGAAUGGAAGUGUGGAAUAUAAAGUGUUUGAUAGACUAUUGUACAGAGUGUUUAGGGGAAAGUUUGGUGAGGAAGAAAGACAGUUAGUUGUACCUUCAGCUAAGAGAGAAAUUGUGUUGAAAACUGCUCAUGAGAGUAUGUUGUCAGGGCAUUUGUCAUUAAGAAAGACUAAAAGUAAAAUCUACAAAUAUUUUUUCUGGCAAGGUUUAGAUGGAGAUAUAAAAGAGUUUGUAAUGUCGUGUGAUGUUUGUCAGAAUGCCGCGUCGUUGUGACAGAGUGGAGCUAGGCCAAAUGAAUGUUGUUACCACUCCGUUUUACAAAGUUGCUACAGAUAUUAUUGGACCAUUGGAGAUAACUGACAACAAGAAUAGGUAUAUUUUGACAGUGGUAGAUGUCGCUACCAGAUGGUCCGAAGCGAUACCUCUGAGGAAUAUAAACACAGAAACAGUUAUUGAGGCGUUAACUAAUAUUUUUUGUAGACUAGGGCUACCUAUAGAAAUAUUAAGUGAUCAAGGCCCCCAGUUUACUUCCGAAUUGUACAAACAGGUGUGCGAGUUUUUCUCAGUUAAACCCGUGCACUCCACUAUAUACCACCCCAGCUCUAAUGGUAUGAUAGAAAGGCUCAAUUCUACUUUAAAAUCCUUUUUAAGGAAAGUAUGUCAGGAUAGCCCUCAUGAUUGGGACCGGAAAGUUAGUGCAGCAUUGUUCGCCUACCGAGAGGUACCUAAUGAGACAACGGGGUUGUCGCCAUUUGAGCUUGUCUAUGGGAGACAAAUGAGAGGCCCACUGGCUAUUUUGAAGCAAGUAUUUGUAAAUGCUGAAGAAGAAACUGAAUAUACGAAUGUGUUGACUUAUUUAGUGGACUUAAAACAAAGAUUAUCAGAGGUGACUACUAUUGCUAAAUCUAACAGCGAUGCAAACAAAAAGAAGUACAAGAUGCAAUAUGACAAAUAUUCGUCUAGACGAGACAUUAAUGAGGGUGACUGUGUUUUAGUCCUCAAGCCACACAGAGACAAUAAGCUGUCCGUGUUUUGGCAAGGCCCGUAUAAGGUUGUGAAUAAAAUAUCAAAGUUCAAUGACGUGGUUGAGAAAGAAAAUAAGAUAAAGGUGUAUCACAUAAACCGACUCAUGAAAUAUCACUGUAGGGUAAAGGAAGUAAGCAAUUCAAACGUUAAAACUGAGGAUACAAAUGAACUUUUAUCAGCUACCAUGGUAUCAGUUGUGGGGGAAGAAGAAGUUGAUGAGCAGGAUGGGGAGAAGGAAGAUGUAGUGGCUAACAUCCCAACGCUAGAGAUUAGGUCGCAAGAGAUGAGUGGCGGGAAUGUGUUGACGCAGGUCAAAAUUAAUCCCGAUUUGAAUGCUACACAAAAGAAGCAAGUUGAUGACAUUUUGAGUGAAUUUAAAGACAUAAUAUCUGAUAUUCCUGGUAGAGCCAAGGUCGAAGAGUUUAAAAUUAAAUUGGUUGAUACGAAACCUGUAACUUUAAAACCAUAUACGGUACUUAUCCACUUGAGAGAUAAAGUUAAGCAAGAGAUUGACAGCAUGUUGGAUUUGGGAAUUAUAGGGCCAACAGACUCUCCCUAUGCAGCGCCCGUUGUUAUAAUAAAAAAGAAAGACGGAACUUUGCGACCUUGUAUUGAUUUUAGAAAAUUAAAUAAUGUUACUGAAAUACCCGCUGAGGUAAUUCCCGAACAAGAAGAUUUGUUCAACAUGCUUUAUAAAGCUAAGUACUUUACGUUACUGGAUCUGACUAAGGGUUACUGGCAAAUUCCAAUUUGUGAAACAAGCAAACCAUUUAAAGCAUUUAAAGUUUUGGGAGAACAUUAUAUGUUCCAUUAUUUACCCUUUGGUGCUCCUAAUCACUUUAACAAGAUUGUUAAGCGCAUGUUAAGAGGGUUAGAAAAUGUAUUGUUUUAUUUCGAUGACAUUUGUAUUUUCAGUGAGGACUGGGACAGGCACAUUGAAAGUGUUCGUAAUGUAUUUAGUGCUUUAAGAAAGAAUGGAUUUACAUUAAAACCCGCCAAAUUGGAGGUGGGCUUUACUAAUGUAAAAUUUCUAGGUCAUAGUGUCGGACAGGGAGUUGUCAAACCUGAUCAUAGUGAUGUGAAAAAGAUUUUGGAAUUUAAGACUCCAACUACAAAAAGGAACUUCGUAGUUUGAUUGGGUUAAUUAACUACUACAGUAGGUUUAUACCAAAACACGCGGAUUUAGUUUUUCCUUUUACGGAAUUAUUACGUCGUCGAAAAUCCAUAAGAGUACACUGGAGCUGUGAGUGUGCGGAGGCAUUGAAGAGAGUACAGGCUUGUCUGUACUGAUGCCUCAGACAAAGGGAAUCUCUGGCAUUCUUAGCCAGUGUGGGAAUGGUAGGUUGCAUCCUAUAGAAUUUGUGAGCCGUAAGCUGUUGCCUCGGGAGCAGAAGUAUUCUAUCAUUGAACGGGAAGGAUUGGCCAUUGUAUAUGCAAUAAAAAAAAUUGGACAGGUAUCUGGCCGGGAAAAAAUUUCAUCUCCAGACUGACCACAAGGCUUUAUCUUACCUUAGGAGCACUAACUUUACCAAUGCACGUAUUACAAGAUGGGCGCUAGUGUUGCAGGAUUAUUCUUUUGAUGUUGUUCAUGUCAAAGGGGAGGACAAUCUGCUUGCUGAUCUGUGUUCAAGAUUGUUAUAGACUUUCCAAUACGCAGCUACAUGAGCUACAUACUUAUGUAUUGUUUUAUACAUGUCUUAUGCAUUUUAUGGUUCCAAUGUAUACAUUGUUGUUUGAAAAUGUUUGCACUUUAUGUUAGAUGAUAUUAUGUUGCAUUUAGUAUUAUUGACAUUAAUUUGCUGAUUAUGCAUUUUAAAUUUGAUUGGUUGGUAGAUUGUGAUUUUGUGAAUGGUUCAUAGUGUAAUGUGGAUACUUUGGUAAAAAGUGUCAUUGGUAAUUUUUCUUCUAAGUUGUUAUGUUUGGAAGAGUGAUGUUAAUGCGGAUGAAUGUUCCCUAGCUGGAUGUGCUUACCUUGUAGUUGCAAUGAUAUCUUCUUACUUUUCUUUCAGUUUGAGGUACGGAAACUGGUCCAUACUUUGUAAGAACCAGUUUGGGGAGAGAGGGGGAAUGUCGGUGCGUAGAUUAUGGCAUUCUAGCACCAAUGUGUAUUAAGUGCACAAUUUUUGAACGCACUUUCUUUUUGUUGCCUUGCUUGUAAGCUGGUGGAGCGUUUUUGUUAUUAUGCUGGUGAAACGUUUUCUUUGAGAUUCUUCUGUGUUCCCCUGUUUAGGGGAGUUAGUAUGGGAUUGGAGUUCUACACUAAGUACUAGAUUCAGCAGUGUGUUUUGGUGUGAUUGCGAGCAUUUAUGUGUCACGUGGUCGGAUAGCAAGGUGUAGAAUUAUUGUUUAAUUAAUAGAUUCACAAUAAUAGAAUGUCCCAAAUUCAAUGUCAUUACUCCAUUAGUUUGUCAUCAUAACUUAUAUUCAUAUCAUUAAAUAUUUACAUUGUCAA